UACGAAGGGGGCUAGCGUUGUUCGGAAUCACUGGGCGUAAAGCGCACGUAGGCGGAUCGUUAAGUCGGGGGUGAAAUCCCGAGGCUCAACCUCGGAACUGCCUUCGAUACUGGCGAUCUUCGAGUCCGGGAGAGGUGAGUGGAACUCCGAGUGUAGAGGUGAAAUUCGUAGAGAUUCGGAAGAACACCAGUGGCGAAGGCGGCUCACUGGCCCGGUACUGACGAUGAGGUGCGAAAGUGUGGGGAGCAAACAGG
rnacentral:rRNA from 1 species